UCACCUACGAAUUCAUCCGUAUUUUAAACCGUUUAUUUUUACUCCUUGGGAUAUCAAGACUCAGAAGGACGACAAAUAGAAUUCUGGCCUCCUCUUGCUGCAGCAGUAACAUUUUAGGAUCGGUGAACGUCUGCGGCUUUGAACCUGAUCAGGUCAAAGUGCGCGUUAAAGAUGGAAAGGUCUGCGUAUCGGCCGAGAGGGAAAACAGGUACGACUGCCUCGGAUCCAAAAAGUACAGUUACAUGAACAUCUGCAAAGAGUUCAGUCUGCCGCCGUGCGUGGAUGAGAAAGACGUGACCUACUCCUACGGGCUCGGCAGUUGUGUCAAGAUCGAGUCUCCAUGCUACCCUUGCACGUCUCCCUGCAACCCCUGCAACCCCUGCAGCCCCUGCAGCCCCUGCGGCCCCUGCGGUCCUUGCGGUCCCUGUGGCCCCUGUGGUCCCUGCGGCCCCUGCGACCCUUGCAACCCCUGCUAUCCCUGUGGAAGCCGAUUCUCCUGUAGGAAGAUGAUCUUGUAAGGUGUAUGAUAAGAACUAUGUCUUAGCAGAAGUCAGUAUUCCAACCAGGCAGCUCUUCAGCAUUUCUCAUCCCCUUCCCACAGCCCGUGUAGGAAACUUAAUACAUAACUGCAUCUGA
rnacentral:lncRNA from 1 species